rnacentral:misc_RNA from 1 species
GAUGCCGGAAAUGGACGGUCCCACCAUGCUGACCGAGAUGCGCAAGCGAAAUCCGGACCUGCGGAUCAUCUUCGUAUCGGGUUAUGCGGAAGAUGCCUUCGAGAAGAGCCUGCCGGAAGGCCAGCAGUUCAACUUCCUGCCGAAACCCUUCACGCUGAGCCAACUUGUGGCUUCGGUGAAGGAAACCAUGACAGCUCCGUCAUAAUCCGGGCCUGAUUCGACCACGCCCCCGCGACUGAGGGCCGCAGGCCCUGUCCU